GCCUUUUCCGCCCUGGGUGCGGAAGGGUGAUGUGGCUCGGGCUUCGCCGGCCUCACUAUGACCACAAAACUAACACUUGGAAAAUUUGAGAAAUUCAAAAAAAGUUGAGAAUUAGGUUAAAAACCUUCCGCAGAAAAUCACUGGAUUCUCCCCUCUUCUUUCCAUAAAGGCUUACACAGCUAAAGAUAUUAUUGUGAAGAAAAAAAAAGCAUGCUGCUUUUCCUACCACUUAGCAUUUUUUGUCCUUCAGGAUAUUGUCUGCCAUUUUCAAUUUUCAGAGUCUGUUGACUGUGAUCUUGCUGCUCAUAUGUACCUGUGCUUACAUCCGGUCCUUGGCACCCAGUCUCCUGGACAGAAACAAAACUGGAUUGUUGGGUAUAUUUUGGAAGUGCGCCAGAAUUGGUGAACGGAAGAGUCCUUAUGUUGCAGUAUGCUGUAUAGUGAUGGCCUUCAGCAUCCUCUUCACACAGUAGCUUAGAAGAAUGCCUGAAUUUAAUUCCCAUUGGAUUUCAACAUAAAAAGGGGACUUAUCUGCAGAAAAUAGUGGAAAGAAUAGUUAACUUUAUCUCUGAACAUUGAAUGAGAUACAUUUCCAGCUGCUGUUUGCUGUUUUGUUAUUGGACCAAUGAUUGUGUAAUUAGGGUAUAACCAUUUAGUACUCAAAGAGUUUGUAACAAUCAAUCUCAGUACUGUCACUACAAUAUUACAUUCUGCGAUUAUCAUUUUGUUGUGUCCAAUACCAGUUUUUAAUGAGGUAUCUCUAAGGCACAUAGUAGAAAAAAUUGGUAAAUUAUUCAAGUCCCUUUCACUGUGAUUUGGAAGUGAUAUAUCUAUAGAAUGAGAUCAUAUAUUGGACUAGUUUUUUUAUUGGGGAAAAGGGGUUCAAUUUUUGUUGAUAAAGAUUACAUUCAUGUUUAAUAGUACUUACUUUACCUCUGGCCACACCAUUUUGAGCAUUAACCAGAGUACCUCUACUCUUAACAAAUUCUGUAGUUUAUUGCAAGUUUUUUAACUAUUUAAAACAAGCCUGUGCAGUUCUAGACAGGAAGAUAAAUGAGAUGUGACAUAUUUAACUUACAAAGGGGUUUAAAAGAGCCAACUGAUGUGGUUAGCGUCUGUAGCCUCUCUGGUUAAGUAUGGAUAAAUGUCUUAAGCAUCAGUUUGACCAGCUAACUGUCAUCAUUCUCUAAAUAAAAUUACAUUCUUAAGUGAAAAGAGCAAAACAGAACAAUUACAAAAUAAUAAUCCUAUGUGUUUUUUUCAUAUUUUAAUUACCCUAAAAUGCAAACUGUAUUUUUGUUGUUUUUUAAUAUAGCACUUUGAAUCUAGCAUAUGUUUUGUCUGUCAACUUGAACUGGAAUGUCUUAUGUAAUUUAGUAAGUGAUAUUUGAUAAAUAGUUUUUAAACCUAUUGAUCCAUGCAUAAUGGCAUACGUGUCUUUGAGCUCUGUUAAUAAAGGAGGACCCUCAGUAAGGCAAGAGGAACAUUGGGAGUGUAGCAUAAAUUUCACUGUAGAGCAGUUUAUAAGUUUAUGGUUCACAUUUCUUAAGAUUCAACCAAAAUUAAAUGAAAAUUUCAAAGCUAAGAAGAACUUAAAUAUCUUAGCUAAAAAAUGCCCUUACUACAGGGUCUGGCAGAAGUAACACCUACUUGAGUGUGGUUGGUAGGGUAAUAAUAUGGGUGUAAUAAUUUAUAGUUUUAAUUUGAACAUUUAAAAUGUCAUAUGGUAUGCUUGAGUGUGAUAUAAUUAUGUUACAGAAUUACAUGCCUAUGAUUUUGUAAUAAAAGGGUGUUAUUUGUGCUGGACCUUUUAUAUAGUAUUAAUUAGAUAUUAUUCUCAGUUGUUAGUUCCCUAUAAGGUAAAAAGGAGAAAAACAGUUUUUUGUGUUUUUUUAAAGAAUUAUUUAAAGAAUCUGCUGGUAGCUCUUUCCUCAGAAACAAAGUAUAGAACUGAAAGCCACCAAUUUUUAAAAAUUAAACUACUAAAUGUUUCCUAAUUAUAGGAAACAUUUGAGAAAAGCUUGGUAUGCAUUGCCGGGGGAUGUUGUUAUUUGGUUUGUUUUGUUUUUAAAGGAUAAAAACUGUUGUAAACAAUAGAUAAAAUUAUUUAUUUUACAUUUUGGCUUAUUUUAAGCUGGUUAAAAGUGGUACAUUUUACUUUAGACAGGGAAUCAAGCUAUGAUAAUUUCUCCUACUCCAAACUGUCUCUUGGGCUUUGUGUUAGGUCAAGGAUUUUCAGGGUGUCCCCAAAAUAGUACUCUCUUAUCAGCAUAUACAUGCAAAGGAAGUCACCUUUCUGGGUCUAGUUUCUUAGUGGCCAUCUGUUCAGCUCUGCUGCCAACUAGACUUUCGAAAAACUGUGACAACUAACUUUACAUGCUACAUGAAUCUAAUAUUUCAAAAAAUGAAUAUUCUAGAUAAUCGAUUCUAAGACAUUAAUACGGCAUUUUGGAGGAUGUAGAUGGGAAAUAGAGGAUGAAAACAUUUAUUUGGAAAAUUGGUGGUAAUAUAUAAAAGUUUGUACUCUAGAGAUUCUGAACAGAGUGGGAGGCAGCUUAUUUCUGACCUCAGCCUUUCUGACCUUUUGAAACACAGGUUCUUUGGGGGGUGGGAGAAAGAUAGUAUUCUAUGAAUAAAAGCAGUUAGCAUUUUCUUUAUUGUUUUCAAGGAGCUACCACUGAAUCCUGUUGUAGAACCCAAAGGACAGUGUAGAUAGUUUUAAUCCCAGGGAAUAUUCAGAUCCUCCCUUUGUCAAAGUCUUGGUGGGGUGGUAGAAUGCAGAGGAGGAUUAAGGAUCGAUUUAAACUUCAGGUGGACUGCCUGUGUCACAUAGUUUUAUCAAGGGAUAAUGGGCUCUGAGGCCCACAGUUUCGUAGAUUCCGAUACUCUGCCUAACCUUCCUGGCUCCAUUCUUUUGAUUUCGUCUCUCCUGGAAUUUGUUUUGUGCUGAUACUUCUUGGCCUCACCUGUGCCAAUGGCUGAGCAUGUCUUCUUUCUAAGCAGUCUUAAAAGUUGGUCAAUCAAAAAGCUACAUACAUAGUGUGUUGAAUUCUCUCUGUGGCUUUAAAAAAGUUCAGAAUGAAGUCAGAUGUCUUAAUGCCUGUGCUGCUGUGCCAGGCACUGUCCUGAAUGCUCUUACAUGUUCAACUUCAGAAUAGCUCUUUUAUGCUAUGGAUAACUAAGUUUACAAAGUCAAAAAUGAACUGAUCUUUGACUAGUUUUGUGAAAAGACCUAGGACUUCUAAGUAGAAUAUUUAUAUUUCAAUAUUCUUUUAAGAAGCAUUUAUAGAGUGUGUAUGAUAUAUUAUCAGUGAAGAUAAGUAUAAAGUUUCUCCCCUCUAUAAGUCAUAAAGUAGUGGUGGGUGAGAGAGAUGAAGUUACUUACAUGAAGUGCUAUGUCAUAGCGUUUACUAUUGAGAUAAUGCCUGCCAGGGUUCUCGAAGAAAAUUGAUGGGUGACAACUCAGUCAGGGACAUGAACUUCUUGCCAAAGAAGCAAUGUUGAAGCUGAAUUUAAGAACAGUAUGCAAAACACCAGUGAUACACACAUACUGUAAGGACCUAGCUUAUGCCACUUGGGAAUUAGUAAGAUAAGCUCAGAAAGGUGGGCAGAGGUUCCAUUCUAGAGCAUCUGCAGUUUUCUCAUUAUGUAUUACCUACCUCAUAAUUUAAGUUGAAUGUGUCCCCUCCUCCCUGACCAAAAA